rnacentral:rRNA from 1 species
UAGCCGUAAACGAUACUCGCUAGGUGUCGGCCACGGUGCGACCGUUGUCGGUGCCGUAGGGAGGCCGUGAAGCGAGCCACCUGGGAAGUACGGCCGCAAGGCUGAAACUUAAAGGAAUUGGCGGGGGGAGCACCACAACGGGUGGAGCCAGCGGUUUAAUUGGACUCAACGCCGGGAAGCUCACCGGAUAAGACAGCGGAAUGAUUGCCGGGCUGAAGACCCUGCAUGACCAGCUGAGAGGUGGUGCAUGGCGUCAGUGACU